rnacentral:rRNA from 1 species
GAUGAACGCUGGCGGCGUGCCUAAUACAUGCAAGUCGAGCGAACAGACGAGGAGCUUGCUCCUCUGACGUUAGCGGCGGACGGGUGAGUAACACGUGGAUAACCUACCUAUAAGACUGGGAUAACUUCGGGAAACCGGAGCUAAUACCGGAUAAUAUAUUGAACCGCAUGGUUCAAUAGUGAAAGACGGUUUUGCUGUCACUUAUAGAUGGAUCCGCGCCGCAUUAGCUAGUUGGUAAGGUAACGGCUUACCAAGGCAACGAUGCGUAGCCGACCUGAGAGGGUGAUCGGCCACACUGGAACUGAGACACGGUCCAGACUCCUACGGGAGGCAGCAGUAGGGAAUCUUCCGCACUGGGCGAAAGCCUGACGGAGCAACGCCGCGUGAGUGAUGAAGGUCUUCGGAUCGUAAAACUCUGUUAUUAGGGAAGAACAAAUGUGUAAGUAACUAUGCACGUCUUGACGGUACCUACUCAGAAAGCCACGGCUAACUACGUG